rnacentral:lncRNA from 1 species
AACUUUUCCUCCCCACGAUCUUCCUACAUCCAUACAUCAUAAGCAUCUACAUACAUACAUCAUGCUCCAUCAAAGUCACGAAUCCUUCACUGCCCAACUAACCUCAUUGCAAUUCCCCCAAAAAAUUACCUCCAAUUCACCUCAUGAGUAUCACCACUCACCCUCAAAUUUACCUAUAUAAGCUAACACCAUUUUCACUGCAUAACACAUCUUGAUACAAUAAAACUCACUAUGAAAACUCUGUUACAUCCACACUUUCAAACAUGCAAAAAUUCCCUACAAACUCUUGCGAAGUUCUCAACAACCACCAUAGAGAUAAAGGAGGAAGAAAGAUUCAAAAGAAAGAGAAGAAACAUGGGAAAUGGAAUAAGAAUAAGGAAGAGAGUAGUUGAGCUUACCUGAGGUGAUUCUUGGCCUCGUCGGUUGGCUCGCAGGAAGCCUGAUAAACGAAGAUUCCAACGAGGUAUUUGUUUCCAUCAUUUACUUCACUUAUUACAUGUCUUUUUAUGUGUUCUUUCACAUUUAUUGUUCCUUCUCCUUUUGAUUUAUGUAAAACUGUUGUAAUCGAAUCAAAUUAUAGAAAAGGGGGCUAGGGUUUUCAAUUAGGGCUAAGGGCGAUUUGCAUUUUAUAUUUUGAAUCUGUUUAAUUGAAUGAUUCAUGAUCAACGUGAAAAUGGAGGGGGAUUCAUGUUGGUGAAUUUUGAUUUGAGAGAUUUAUGCAAAAUUCUGGAAAAAACAAAGACGGUGUUCUUCAUUUUUCAAAGUUUUUGAUCUGAAUUUUUUUUAAGAGUUUGGUUUAGUUUUUUGUUGGUCUGGUGAGAGGGAAUUAUGAAGAUAAUAUAUAUAAUAUAUAAUAUAAUAUAUAUAUAUAAUAUAUAUAUAUUAUAUAAUAUAUAUAUAUAUAUAUAUAUAUAUAUAUAUAUAUAUAAAUAUAUAUAUAUAAUAUAUAUAAUAUAUAUAAUAUAUAAUAAUAUAUAUAUAAUAUAUAAUAAUAUAUAUAUAAUAUAUAUAUAUAUAUUAUAUAUAAUAUAUAUAUAUUAUUAUAUAUAUAUAUAUAUAUAUAUAAUAUAUAUAUUAGAGAGAGAGAGAGAGAGAGAGAGAGAGAGAGAGAGAGAGAGAGAGAGAGAGAGAGAGAGAGAGAGAGAGAGAGAGAGAGAGAGAGAGAGAGAGAGAGAGAGAGAGAGAGAGAGAGAGAGAGAGAGAGAGAGAGAGAGAGAGAGAGAGAGAGAGAGAGAGAGAGAGAGGAGAGAGAGAGAGAGAGAGAGAGAGAGAGAGAGAGGAGAGAGAGAGAGAGAGAGAGAGAGAGAGAGAGAGAGGAGAGAGAGAAGAGAGAGAGAGAGAGAGAGAGAGAGAGAGAGAGAGAGAGAGAGAGAGAGAGAGAGAGAGAGAGAGAGAGAGAGGAGAGAGAGAGAGAGAGAGAGAGAGAGAGAGAGAGAGAGAGAGAGAGAGAGAGAGAGAGAGAGAGAGAGACGAGAGAGAGAAGAGAGAGAGAGAGAGAGGAGAGAGAGAGAAGAGAAGAGAAGAGAAGUAAAAGUGAGGUUUUACGUGAUAACCUCUCUCCUAUUUAUCCAUCCCUAGUCUUUUCCAUGUGCACGCCUUGUUGCUUUAUGGGUCGUCGGAUAUAUUGACUACACACCUUUGAUUUGGGGUCCCAUUAGGGGACCCCCACCAUAACACACUAUGCCUUCUUUCCACGUCCUUAGAUCCAGUUUGUAGAUGAUCUAACGAGUCAUAUUAGAGUCCUUUGUUUGACUCCUUUGGAUGUUCCGUGGGCAUACACCUUGCUUCUUUGUGCUAUCCACCCCCUUGUGUUUUUUUUGCUACUGCGAAUUUUAUUUUUUGGGCCUUUAGCCCAAGUUCUCUUUUUGCUUAUUCAACAUGCACUCCCCAUUAUUUGCACCCCUCUUCCUUAUUUUUUAUUUUUUUAAUUUCUUUUUUGAAAAUCUUAAGAAAAACAUUUUAAUUAAUAUAAUUAAUAUUUCCGUAGCAAAAAAACACUUGAUUAACUAUCAAGAUUUUCAAAAAUGAAUUUCAAAACCAUUCAAAAACCUUUUUAGCAAAUUCAAUCCUUUUUUUUCAAAAUAACACGAAUCAAAAUGCUUGAUCUUUUCAAGCUCUUUUCAAAACUUUAUCAUUUUAAAAACUUUUUCACAAUAAAUAAUCGGAUAAAAAAAGGACUAGUUGAACGUAUUUGUCCCUAUUAGUCUCCGAGUAUUGGGAUAAUGGUCGUGCUUAGUCCACCGCUUGAAUACUCAUCUUCAGUUUUAAUAUACAUUUAAAUAAUCGAAUUUAGUUCAUUCUUUCACGGAUAAAAAAGAUUAGUUGGAUGCACUUGUUCAUCCUAGUCCCGAUUAGUUAUGUGAUGGGCGUACUUAGUCUCCCGUACAAACACUCAUUAUUCGUUAAAGAAAUGUGACCUACUUUGACUAACGAAUUUUAUAAAGAACGUGGACAUAAAAUGAUUAGUUGGAUGUACUUGUCCCUCUUAAUCUCCGAGUAUUUGGAUGAUAUACGUACUUAGCCUCUCGUUUGAGAGUUUGUCAUCCUCCUAAUAGAAACUCAACCUAUCAAAUCUUUUCCUUCUUAGCGCAAUGUCAAACCCAUUUACAAACGAAAGAUGCUUCGUCCAUUCUGAGAUGAUGCAAACAAAGCUUCAAUCCUACCAUGCACAAGAAGUAAGAACGCUUUUCACUCGAAUGCGAUGAAAACAUAACUAUGUGAGAUUCCAAUUUCUGUUGUCCAUUCUGAUGCAACACCAAUGUUCACUUCUCCGUGUUUUGGGUAGUAAUCAAUAUUUUUUGCUCGAAUGUGAACUAACCAUCCUUCGCUAAAAUUGAUUAACCCAUAAACAUUUUUUUACCCAAAACCAUGUAGUAUUGAUUUCCUCAUCGCACCUGAGGAUACAUAGGAGGGAGAUUCAAUGUCUCGUCAAGCACCACAAUAAUAAAAAAAAUCCAAAAAUAUAUUUUUCAUGCCAAGAACUACGUAGCUUUGAAAGGUCUCGAGAAGGAUGUGGUUGUUGCUCGGUUGAAUUCUCACAAAUCCCUUCAACAGGCUAUAGAAGUUGUGUGCAGGGUCUAAGAUGAAAUGUUGGAGCAGGCGCGAGGGGUUUGUCCCGACCUUUCGGUUACCGCUGACUAGCUUAAUCCUUUAGCAUAUGCUAUUGUAAAGGAUAUUGAAAGUGGUCCUAGAGCUUCAGAUUCGGAUGUCAAUGUAUGAAAGCCUUUUUGUUCUUCUUUCUUUGUUUUAUCUGCUCUUGUAAGAUUUGGUUGGGACUUCGUGCCUUGGUUUGUAAACAAUAUAUUUAUAUAUGUAUUUCAUUUAUUACCUUUAGUAUGCUUGUGUUUUUUGUUAUAGUAUUGCUCCUUAUUCAACUGUUAUUAUUGUCUGGCUGGGAUCCAAGGAGAACUAGGAUCCGAGGAGAGCCAAACUUGCUUGGGAAUCCUGUAGUUUGCAUAAUUUGUUUAUUAUAGAGAGUAGUAAAUGAUUUUUUCUUAAAGUGUAAAUUAUCUUAAGUCUUUGUGAGGUCGUGUAUGACUAUUUCUUUUCAG